CUUAACACAUGCAAGUCGAGGGGCAGCAUGGUCUUAGCUUGCUAAGGCCGAUGGCGACCGGCGCACGGGUGAGUAACACGUAUCCAACCUGCCGUCUACUCUUGGACAGCCUUCUGAAAGGAAGAUUAAUACAAGAUGGCAUCAUGAGUCCGCAUGUUCACAUGAUUAAAGGUAUUCCGGUAGACGAUGGGGAUGCGUUCCAUUAGAUAGUAGGCGGGGUAACGGCCCACCUAGUCUUCGAUGGAUAGGGGUUCUGAGAGGAAGGUCCCCCACAUUGGAACUGAGACACGGUCCAAACUCCUACGGGAGGCAGCAGUGAGGAAUAUUGGUCAAUGGGCGAGAGCUUGAACCAGCCAAGUAGCGUGAAGGAUGACUGCCCUAUGGGUUGUAAACUUCUUUUAUAAAGGAAUAAAGUCGGGUAUGGAUACCCGUUUGCAUGUACUUUAUGAAUAAGGAUCGGCUAACUCCGUGCCAGCAGCCGCGGUAAUACGGAGGAUCCGAGCGUUAUCCGGAUUUAUUGGGUUUAAAGGGAGCGUAGAUGGAUGUUUAAGUCAGUUGUGAAAGUUUGCGGCUCAACCGUAAAAUUGCAGUUGAUACUGGAUAUCUUGAGUGCAGUUGAGGCAGGCGGAAUUCGUGGUGUAGCGGUGAAAUGCUUAGAUAUCACGAAGAACUCCGAUUGCGAAGGCAGCCUGCUAAGCUGCAACUGACAUUGAGGCUCGAAAGUGUGGGUAUCAAACAGGAUUAGAUACCCUGGUAGUCCACACGGUAAACGAUGAAUACUCGCUGUUUGCGAUAUACUGCAAGCGGCCAAGCGAAAGCGUUAAGUAUUCCACCUGGGGAGUACGCCGGCAACGGUGAAACUCAAAGGAAUUGACGGGGGCCCGCACAAGCGGAGGAACAUGUGGUUUAAUUCGAUGAUACGCGAGGAACCUUACCCGGGCUUAAAUUGCAGAUGAAUUACGGUGAAAGCCGUAAGCCGCAAGGCAUCUGUGAAGGUGCUGCAUGGUUGUCGUCAGCUCGUGCCGUGAGGUGUCGGCUUAAGUGCCAUAACGAGCGCAACCCUUGUUGUCAGUUACUAACAGGUUCCGCUGAGGACUCUGACAAGACUGCCAUCGUAAGAUGUGAGGAAGGUGGGGAUGACGUCAAAUCAGCACGGCCCUUACGUCCGGGGCUACACACGUGUUACAAUGGGGGGUACAGAGGGCCGCUACCACGCGAGUGGAUGCCAAUCCCCAAAACCUCUCUCAGUUCGGACUGGAGUCUGCAACCCGACUCCACGAAGCUGGAUUCGCUAGUAAUCGCGCAUCAGCCACGGCGCGGUGAAUACGUUCCCGGGCCUUGUACACACCGCCCGUCAAGCCAUGGGAGCCGGGGGUACCUGAAGUGCGUAACCGCGAGGAGCGCCCUAGGGUAAAACUGGUGACUGGGGC
rnacentral:rRNA from 1 species